GAAAAGAUGGAAGAUGAUGGGAAGAGGAGGGUAAAAAAUCAUAUUCCUCCCUAAAGCGGGCCAAACCCUGAACCAGAUACGUCCCGUUUACUCUCCGCACGUAAUCAGAGUGUUUCAGUGAUCACUCGGAUCACUUUCCACUGCAACAGUUGAAGCAACAGCAUCAUCCUCCAUGGACCCGCUCUCCACCCUCCGCGACUUCACAAUCCGCGGCGAGCUCGACAAGAUCGUCCGGGUCAACGACGAGUUCCGGUUCGGUUCCGAGUACAGCUUCCCCUGCCACGCCGAGACCGCCUACCGCUCCAAGCAAGGCAAUCUCUACACCCUCGAAACCCUCCUUUAUUACGUCAACAACCACCAAAUCAAGCACACCGACUACAUCCAGUGCGCCCGCACCCAGGGGAUCCCCUCCGUCACUUUCCCCGACCGCAAGCCCCUCCUCGACUACCUCACCGGAAAGAUCUCUUCCUCCGACUCCAUCGAGUUCAUCCUCCCUCCCCAGAACGACGCCAUACACCACCCCAAAAUCCCUACCGCCCUCGAUUCCGCCAGCAACGGUAACCACAUCAGCAACGACAACGGCGAUUACGCCGCUUUGGAUUCUAGGGUUUUCACUCAAAUUGAGACGCCGGUGGACUACAUGUCUUUGAUUUGCUCCAGCGAGCGGCCGUUGAAGGACCGCGAGGGGUUGCUGGAGUGUAAAGGCAGGAACUUUUACGCUGUUUUGACUUCGGCGACGAAGAGGGAAGAGGAACGGCAGCGUAUCGAGUCGCAGCAGAGGAAAGACGGGCUGGUGGCGAAGAGCAGGCUAAUGGGUUCGGACGAGAGGGGCUUGACCGGGUUCGGAGAUGAAUCGGGUUACGACCCGAAUACGAAGCCCAAAUUGCACUUGAAAGGAGGAAAAGUUGGGGAAGGGGUGCCCAUAAUUUUGGUGCCCAGUGCGUUUCAGACGCUGAUUACGAUUUACAAUGUGAAGGAGUUUUUGGAAGAUGGGGUUUAUAUACCCACUGAUGUGAAGGUGAAGCAGAUGAAUGGGGCGAAGCCGGACUGCGUGACGGUGCAGAAGAAGUUUAGUAGGGAUAGGGAUCGGGUGGUGACGGCUUAUGAAGUUAGGGAUAAGCCCUCAGCAUUGAAGGCGGAGGAUUGGGACCGUGUUGUGGCGGUUUUUGUGUUGGGGAAGGAAUGGCAGUUCAAGGAUUGGCCUUUCAAGGACCAUGUUGAGAUUUUCAAUAAGAUUAUGGGCUUUUUCAUGCGGUUCGAAGAUGAUAGCGUGGAGUCGGCAAAGAUUGUGAAGCAGUGGAAUGUGAAGAUCAUCUCAAUUAGCAAAAAUAAACGACAUCAAGAUAGAGCUGCGGCAUUGGAGGUGUGGGACAGAUUAGAAGAAUUUGUGCGGUCAAGAUCACAUUCUUGACGUGCAUCAAGUUGCAGAAGAAAGAGAUUACAACAGUCAUGUUGGUGUGGCUUGCGCUUUUGUGGUCCUUUAACUUUUAAGUUUUGCUAUAAAAAAAUUGAGGAUAUUUUAGGAUAAUGUAACAUUACAUUUUUUCUGAGUGACGAGACUAUAUCAAUCUAAGAGUCCAUGGAGAUGCUCGGCUGAAUAUCAAGGGUUGGCAAGGAGAAUGACCCGAGGAUAGAUACUCGAAGAUGGAGUUGUCGUUUUACAUAUUUGCAAUGUUUAUCAAACCUUUGCCUGAUCAUUGCAGAUAUGCGGAGGGUUUCCCAGUUAAUCAAAAACUGACUGAGGAACAGCGGUUGGUGCCCUUGAACCAUCUUCUCCGGAGGUUCAGCAAGACACUGUUGAGAUUCAUCUGAAGGUAGGAUGUCUGCAUAUUUGCAAACUAGGCGGAAGUUAAUACUGGUCCUACAUCUCCACCCGCUCGUAGGGAGAUGAAGCUUUGCACAGGAAGUGCAAUGUGGCUAUUCGGGAGGACGGAGAUUGGAAAGCUUGUAGUACAAAAAGAAAAAUCAGCACAUUGUGAAGAUAGCAUAUGCUGCAGCCAAGAGAAGAAAGAGUUGAGUCGUAGCAGACAUCUUGAUGGAGUUUCCGUCCGACGAGCCACCUUGAGUCGACGGUACAUUUUUUGAUCCGUUUCCUGCAUAAUAUGAACAUCAAUAGUGUCAACCUUUUAGGUGGAGCAGAGGAUUAAAAUUUCUAAAGAUUCAUUCACAGCUAAAAGAAUCAUAUGAACUGUUUUGUGUACCUGAAGGACUAUUUGGAGUGUCUGCUGCUCCUGUUGGAGAGUCAGCUGGAGAACCGGCUGCGUAAAUAUAACGGUAUACAAGUUAUUAGAAGAAGAUUAAGACGGAUCAUUAGAAUGUGAGCAUCCACCCAAAACCAAUAAACAAUAGGAUGGAGAGGCCUAAGAUCAUUUAUACUAUAUUAGGCAAGGCUUUAAUUCCUUGAUGUGAGAUUCUUUCUAAUCGUCGACGCAAGACAUUGAGCUAUGCAGGCUUACCGUUACACUGGCUGAGUGGUGGGGUCUGGACAUUGCAAGCACCAGGCAAUGCCAGAGCCUGAGUCCGAUUCACGUUGACCCCCAGAGAUGAUCCACCGCCGUUAAGAACCUCACACAAGCACUGUGGGGAGGAAGCGACAACGCUAGCGAGCUGCGAGCAGCAUCCGGAAGUAGGGGUUGAGGAGUUUCCAGUGAUGUAACUGAGGCAGGGUGACAUGCUGAUGAUCACAUUUGUGCAACUAGACUGUGCUGCUGCCCUUGCGAAGAACAUGGUCACUAGGACAAGGACUAGAGACAUCUCAAACUUUUGUGCCAUUAGAAUACAAGUUGUUUGGAUUUGUGCGAGAAGUGAUUGGGAAAAUGCGAUAUCUCAAGUGGGAUUUGAACGUUUUGAUUGAUUCGGUGAAGUUAGAGGAGAAAUAUGUGGCCUUUUGUAGGGGUGGAGAUGAAGAAAGAGGACAAAAAUGUUGGAAUAAUUGGUAACCUAACUAUUCCUACUUGCAUUA